ACCCCUAGGCCAUCAGGGAACUCCAAGAUUCAUGAUUUCUCGUCAAAGGUUAACAAGCUAGUGUGACAUCACUGGAUCCACGGCAUAAACAGACUGGACGCUUCUUAUGGUCAGGACAGGGUCUAGAGAGCUGUGUGCACAGAGAGAAUGCCAAGAUUCGGAGCUGCGAAAAUCUCAGUGCCAUAUCAAGCUCUGACUCUCACUCGCUAUGAGAAGUGGGACUUUGGCUCAUACGUGGAUAUACUUGUGCUGCCGUGACCUGCCACGACUUGACUGGAGGCUGCUCACUUGACUCACCCACUGAGAGUGACCUGGUGGCUCGUGCGAUACUGCCUUGCUCUUGCUCUUUCUGUACAGCAGCAGUUACAGAGGGAACACAGAGGAAGGAAGGAACUAAUAACAUUUUGGAUGGAUGAAGUCAUAGACCGGAAGCCAGCUGAUCGAUGCAUAGAUCUCCGAGACCUUUGGACGAGGUUCUUCCUGAAGGGCAUGAAGUCCUUCUGAGACCCAUUCUCUAUUUUCUGGGAGCAGGUGUCACGGAGCCUGCAUGUUCCUAAGUAUCUGGAAACUGUGGUCGUUCUCGUACAGAUGCUGGUACUCUCCUCGGAUCCGCAGAAGAGAGCAUAUGUUCUCUUGUAAUUUCUCUUGACCGUUUACCUUUCCUGGUGUCUGCUGGCAUCUUUCCAAUCUACUUGAAACUCAGGAAGGGAGUCUCUGCUCCAGAUGGCCUGUUCCCAUUGCAUCGUACCUGGAUGUCUGAUAUGUGUGCAAUCCUGGCUGUACUGAGGAUAUUUUCACCCUACUCAUGUCUUGCUUACUUCGGACCCUGAAAGAUUCCUCAAGCUUUCAGCUCUUCCUGUCACAGCAUCUCUGUGAACCUGUGUAGCUAAACUCACAUGAUGACUGAGAUCCUUGUCCCUGAGAGUCCAACUGGCCAGAGAGGAUGCAGAGAAUUAUACUACCCCCACCCCGCCACCACGCAUCAGGGCGCUGUCCGGCGGUAUAAGCAAGACAGAAACUUUGAUGCGUCAAGCCAGUGAGACAAGACUGGUGCCCAGUGCUUUAGAAACUGUAUUUUGAUGUAAACGCCCUGCCGCCCAAUGACAUGGAAACUAUUAUUAUAACACCACUUGACAGAGGAAAGGAGAAAAAACAGGAUUGUUUGAACUCACACAACUGGAAAGGAAUGAAGCCAGGAGAGCCUCAAAGUCCAGCCUGGUGAUGCCCGAGCUGCAGAAGAGCCUGGAGCUGGCAGCCAUGGGGCCUGGGGCUUCGGGAAACUCGGGCAGCACUGCGACAGCCUCACACUCGGCCCUGGGCUCCGGAGUCAGCCUGCACGCCUAUGACAUCGCAGUCCUGGUCGUCUACUUUGUCUUCGUCAUCGCCGUGGGGGUCUGGUCGUCCAUUCGUGCCAGCCGAGGGACCGUCGGCGGCUACUUCCUGGCCGGGAGGUCCAUGAGCUGGUGGCCGAUCGGAGCAUCUCUGAUGUCCAGCAAUGUGGGCAGUGGCUUGUUCAUCGGCCUGGCUGGGACAGGGGCCGCCGGAGGCCUUGCUGUGGGCGGCUUUGAGUGGAAUGCAACCUGGCUGCUUCUGGCCCUCGGCUGGAUCUUUGUUCCCGUGUACAUUGCAGCUGGAGUGGUCACAAUGCCUCAGUACCUGAAGAAGCGAUUUGGGGGCCAGAGGAUCCAGGUGUACAUGUCUGUCCUUUCUCUCAUCCUCUACAUCUUCACCAAGAUUUCGACCGACCUCUUCUCUGGAGCCCUCUUCAUCCAGAUGGCCCUGGGCUGGAACCUUUACCUCUCCACGGCGAUCCUGCUGGUGGUAACAGCCGUCUACACCAUCACAGGGGGCCUCAUGGCCGUCAUCUACACAGACGCCCUGCAAACGGUGAUCAUGGUGGGGGGAGCCCUGGUCCUCAUGUUUCUGGGCUUUCAGGAGGUGGGCUGGUACCCAGGCCUGGAGCAGCGGUACCAGCAGGCCAUCCCUAAUGUCACUGUUCCCAAUACCACCUGUCACCUCCCCCGGCCUGACGCCUUCCACAUGCUCCGGGACCCUGUGAAUGGGGACAUCCCGUGGCCGGGCCUCAUUUUCGGGCUCACGGUGCUGGCCACCUGGUGCUGGUGCACGGACCAGGUCAUUGUGCAGAGGUCUCUCUCCGCCAAGAGUCUGUCCCACGCCAAGGGAGGCUCUGUGCUGGGGGGCUACCUGAAGGUCCUGCCCAUGUUCUUCAUCGUCAUGCCUGGCAUGAUCAGCCGGGCCCUGUACCCAGAUGAGGUGGGCUGUGUGGACCCUGACGUCUGCCAAAGAAUCUGUGGAGCCCGUGUGGGGUGUUCCAACAUCGCCUACCCCAGGCUGGUCAUGGGUCUCAUGCCCGUGGGUCUGCGGGGCCUGAUGGUUGCCGUGAUCAUGGCCGCCCUCAUGAGCUCACUCACCUCCAUCUUCAACAGCAGCAGCACCCUGUUCACCAUUGACGUGUGGCAGCGCUUCCGCAAGAAGGCGACAGAGCAGGAGCUGAUGGUGGUGGGCAGAGUGUUUGUGGUGCUCCUGGCCGUCAUCAGCAUCCUCUGGAUCCCCGUCAUCCAACGCUCCAACAGCGGGCAGCUCUUCAUCUACAUCCAGUCCAUCACCAGCUACCUGGCCCCGCCCAUCACCGCCCUCUUCCUGCUGGCCAUCUUCUGCAAGAGGGUCACAGAGCCUGGCGCCUUCUGGGGCCUCCUAUUCGGCCUGGCGGUGGGGGUUCUGCGCAUGGUCCUGGAGUUCUGCUUCCCAGCCCCAGCCUGCGGGGAGGCGGACCGGAGGCCGGCUGUGCUGAAGGACUUCCACUACCUCUACUUUGCCCUCCUCCUCUGCGGGCUCACCGCCCUCGUCAUCGUCGCCGUCAGCCUCUGCACGACCCCAUCCCCGAGGAAAAGCUGGCUCGCCUGACGUGGUGGACGCGGCACCAGCCCUCCUUGGAGCUGGAGAAGGAGGCCCAGGAGAACACAGCAGGGACAGCGGCCGUGCCGUCCGGCGAGGGCCCUGCAGAAGCUGGAGGGGCAGGCGACCCCAGCCAGGGCCUGGAGCAGCUUGGAGCCCCACGCAGGUCCUGGGGACAGCUGCUCUGGGGCUGGCUGUGUGGGCUCUCGGGGACCCCGGAACAAGCGCUGAGCCCCGCCGAGCAGGCCGCCCUGGAGCAGAAGCUGAGCAGCAUUGAGGAGCAGCCUCUCUGGAGAAGCGUCUGCGACAUCAACGCCGUGCUCCUGCUGGCCGUCAACAUCUUCCUCUGGGGCUACUUUGCGUGACUCCAAAGCCGGGACAAACUCGACAGCCAGGCCUGGCCGGCCAGAGACACGCUUUCCCUCCACCUCGCUGUCCAAACUGAGACCCCAGAGACCAGACUGCAGGACCCCGGUACGGUCCCCAGCCAGGCCGCACAUGGACGGGGGAGCCUUGAGGCCCAGAGAGGGCCCUGGGCCUUCCGGGGGCCACACUGCAGGACUCGCCCUUGGUCCCCUGGCUCCAGCUCUCUCCACCAUAGGACCUUUCACGCCUACCUCAAAACACCGCUUCCGCCUCCUGGCGGGUCUGUUCAGGUGGUUUUACUUUACCAGCAUCGUGAGGUGAAAAAAGUAGAAGCUACAAGAAGAGGCAAGAAAGCUGCAGAAAUCCUCGUGCCUCUGCUCACCGGUGUCCCUUCCCCACCCGCCUUCUCCCUCCUCCACUCUCUGGCUCCCGAGCCCGGCCAUCGAUUUCCAGACGGAAUCGCCCAAGGAGGGCUUGUCCUCGUCUUGGCGGCUCAGCGGUGGGGGCUGUCAGAGCAGAAGGCAGGAGGGGCCCGGUGGAGGGUGAGCACAAGCGCCGGGCGCUCUCGGAUCUGCCUCUUCUCCCCUCAAAUCUAAAUACACAAGUCUCAGGCCUUGAGGAACGUGGAGACCAGCUGGAGAGACAUGACUUGUUGGAGUCAAGAGGAAUCAAGACGGGCCGCCCUGUGCCAGGAGCCGCCCGGUUGAGAAGCCCCCGCAGCUGGGCCCAUGCCCACCUCUUGCUCUGCCUGCCCGGCAACCACCUACCCUAGGACACACCACCACCUCGCCUGGGUGUCUCUCCACCCAGGAAGCUGCCCCGUGCCCACGACGGGGUGGAGGCCCCACCCCCUCUCCCGCAUCCUCUGGACCCGCUUCUGUGUAGCCACGGAUCCCUGUGCUGUAAGGUGUUCCUCCUUGAUCAGAUGGAGCCUGCCGGGGGCCGGGGACCAAGGGUUGUGACUUGGCACCCAGAACGUAACAGGCAUGGCUUUAGCAACAGUAAAUGUUGGAUGAGCACUUCUCCAGGGUCCUGGUAGGCUUUGCACUGGAGGGUCCUGAGCCAGCUAGUGAGGAAGAAUCUCCUUCAGCUGGAGUUUACACGCCGAGUCUCAGUUGUCUAGACCACCUCCCCGUCCCGUUGCCAAAGGCACCUUGAGAAUGUCCCUUCCUUUCCCAGCUCUCCAUCUGGGCCGUCGCUGUUCUCAUGGGAGCCUCUUUAAUGCUGCCUUCGAGCCUCGCUUUCUACUGAUCGCUCAUCGUAAUUAAAUACAAAGAAAAUUCUUGUUGGGGGGUUAAAUACAACUAAGUCUAUGAAUAAUAGUUCCUGUUGCUGCUGCCUCCACAUUUCUGUGGCCACCAACCUCUCCUCAUCUGUGUCACCUCACGUGGCUGUGCUCUUCUCACUGUCCCCAGGGCCCUUUACUGGGAACUCAGCUGUUUUUUUCCCCCCGUUAUCUACACAAGGCAUUUGUGUACAGCCAAUUAUGCUGAAUAUUUGGGGAGGG